GUGAAUCAUCGAAUUUUUGAACGCAAAUUGCACUCUCCUCGGAGAGUAUGCCUGUUUGAGGGUCAGCCUAAAAAAAAUCGACAUCGCUUCUGUUUCUCGGUGGCGUUCUUCGCAAAUUGGGUCAUCUUAAAUCCUUUUGAUGUAUACUACUUAAAAUUUUCUUUUUUUUCCAUUAAAGUUUCUUAGAUCUUUUUCUUUACACGUUUAAGGUAUUGAUUUUGACUAGACUUGACCAUUAUAUUGUAUCGCUUCCAUA
rnacentral:misc_RNA from 1 species